rnacentral:rRNA from 1 species
UACGAAGGGUGCAAGCGUUACUCGGAAUUACUGGGCGUAAAGCGUGCGUAGGUGGUUUGUUAAGCCUGUUGUGAAAGCCCCGGGCUCAACCUGGGAAUGGCAAUGGAUACUGGCAAGCUAGAGUGCGGUAGAGGGUAGUGGAAUUCCACGUGUAGCAGUGAAAAUGCGUAGAGAUGUGGAGGAACACCAAUGGCGAAGGCAGCUCGCUGGGACGGUACUGACGGCUGAGGCGCGAAAGCGUGGGGAGCAAAGCAGGG